rnacentral:rRNA from 1 species
CCUACGGGUGGCAGCAGUAGGGAAUAUUGCUCAAUGGGGGAAACCCUGAAGCAGCAACGCCGCGUGGAGGAUGAAGGUUUUAGGAUUGUAAACUCCUUUUGUUAGAGAAGAUUAUGACGGUAUCUAACGAAUAAGCACCUGCUAACUCCGGGCGAGCAGCCGCGGUAAUACGGAGGGUGCAAGCGUUAGUCGGAAUCACUGGGCGUAAAGAGUGCGUAGGCGGGGUAAUAAGUCAGAUGUGAAAUCCUGUAGCUUAACUACAGAACUGCAUUUGAAACUGUUAGUCUGGAGUGUGGUAGAGGUGGGUAGAAUUCUAGGUGUAGGGGUAAAAUCCGUAGAGAUCAAGAGGAAUACUGAUUGCGAAGGCGACCCGCUGGAAAAUUACUGACGCUGAUGCACGAAAGCGUGGGGAGCAAACAGGAUUAGAUACCCUUGUAGUC